rnacentral:rRNA from 1 species
UUCCAAAGGUAAAAAUUAAAAGAAUUGCGGGAAGGGCCCCCCAGGGGUAAACAGACGCAGUCUAUUUUGCCUCUAAAAGGCAGCCGGGAAACUGUUUAGGUGGGAAAUGUCCUGGCCGGAGAGCCGGACAUGGUUAGUUACUGGAACGAUGGCAACACCCUCAAACUGACGGGAACGUCUUAAAGCCGAUUAACACCAAGCAGGCGUCGAAAGGGCCCUGUGGCCGAACUAACAGCCCUGGGAUAUGGUAAAAGCUUGAUCGGAUGCUACAAUGGAUAACUCGCAAGCCAAGCCCCUAAGUGUUUCGACAUACGGGGAAGGUUCAGAGACUUAACGGGGGUGGGUGUGGUGUAGACCAUGCCUAAGAUAAAGUCCGUCCGCCUGCGAAAGCUUGCGAAUAAACCGUAAAAACGGGAGCCUGCGGCUUAAUUUGACUCAACACGGGGAAACUCACCAGGUCCAGACACAAUGAGGAUUGACAGAUUGAGAGCUCUUUCUUGAUUUUGUGGGUGGUGGUGCAUGGCCGUUCUUAGUUGGUGGAGUGAUUUGUCUGCUUAAUUGCGAUAACGAACGAGACCUUAACCUGCUAACUAGCCCGUAUUGCUUUGGCAGUACGCUGGCUUCUUAGAGGGACUAUCGGCUCAAGCCGAUGGAAGUUUGAGGCAAUAACAGGUUAACCUAUUCACAGGCCUGUAACAGUAGACCUCUUGAAAUAUUCUGCUAGUCCAACGACUCACCUCCGUAGGGGAAGCCCCCUAAUGUCGGGCGGAGGAGAUCUCUUUAGGGGUCUAAUCGUGGGCGACACUACCUGGUACAGGGGACGCCUAUCCCGAGUUAACGCUCGGGAGGCCAAUCCUGUGGCGAGUCUGGGUUGCGCCAGACCGUCGCAACGCGCGGAAAGGAGUGGGCUCUUCGGAGCUUAAGGUACGUGCUAAUCCCAUGGGGAACCAUGCCACUAUGACUAGGCCCGACAAGCCGAAGCAUAGAGGGGCAGGCGCUGGAGCGCCCGCUGGAACUCACUGUCGCGGUCCGCCGCGGCGUGGGAAAUGCUGUGAUGCCCUUAGAUGUUCUGGGCCGCACGCGCGCUACACUGACGGAGCCAGCGAGUACUCCCUUGGCCGAAAGGCCUGGGUAAUCUUGUUAAACUCCGUCGUGCUGGGGAUAGAGCAUUGCAAUUAUUGCUCUUCAACGAGGAAUCCCUAGUAAGCGCAAGUCAUCAGCUUGCGUUGAUUACGUCCCUGCCCUUUGUACACACCGCCCGUCGCUACUACCGAUUGAAUGGCUCAGUGAGGCGUCCGGACUGGCCCAGAGAGGAGGGAAACCACCACUCAGGGCCGGAAAGCUCUCCAAACUCGGUCAUUAGAGGAAGAUGUAGUCGAUGC